ACGAUAGGAGUAAUAAAAGGAAAAUAUUGAGUGCUCAAUUGCGCCUGAAUUGCCAUAUAUCACCUUCAUAAACUUUCACAAAGUUGAUCCUAUGGAAGUUAUUGAUGGGGAUCAAUGUCAAAUAUUUUGAAGAUAAAGACAUCGAUGAACAGUUUAUUUGCUCUCAUUGUCACGGUGUUUUUGUUGAUCCGGUUCUUUGUACGUGUAAACAUGUCCUUUGCUGGGAUUGUUUCAAGAGCCGAAAGACUCAUUAUUUGGGGUGUUCCGUUUGCCUAAAGGACCUCAAAGUUUCUUCAGAACCUUUAAAAAGAGAAUGGCUAAAAAAAUUGGCCAGGCUACGAAUAAGCUGCCCAAAAGGCUGCGGUGAAAUUGUCACUUAUGAAUCUUAUAACCAUCAUCUCGUAAAGGAAUGUCCAUUUUCCAUGGUAUCUUGUACGAAUGCUGGCUGUACAAAAAAAGUACGUCGUUCAGACUUCACGGAGCACUUAACAACAUGCGCGUUUCGUUCGUCAACCUGUAGUUGUGGCGCUCAACUGACUUUCAUUGAUUUAAGACAACAUGAGUUGGUUCAAAGAUGCGAUUCUAAACAGAAUCUCCACCGCGUCGUACAAAAACGAAGAGAAAUGGUUCGAGCGACUCGAGAUCAUCGCAUAAAUUUGCGGCAACAAUCUUUUGCACUGGACAUUGAACGAAGACAAAUGUUGAAUUCAAAACAAUCAAAAGACCCUACGGUCAAUCGUUCACUACGCACUUUUAAACCCAAUUCAAGCUUGCAUCCGAAAAACAUAGAAAGAUCUUCUCAAAGUUCACAAGGAUUACACAUGAAAUCAAUUCAAACGUGUUGUCGUUGUGGAAAAAUGUAUGCAGAGAAAGCAAACAACGAGAGGUCGUGUUCUUGGCAUGUCGGGCCGAUUGCUGAUGUAUUUGUGAGUACACUCAAGUUCUCUUUAACAAAACAUUGAUGAGUUAAAUUCACAUAUUCCUCAAUUCUAAUAACUUUUCUUUUUUAUAUCCUUUGUUCUUCUUGGACAGGGGGUAAGCUUGUCAAGUUCAUGUGUAAUUUUUAAUGUCUAUUUUAUUCUCUUCUUACUUAUGUACACUUUUACUUACAUUGACUAGGGUAUGGUGAGUACUUCCUUUCUACAUGGAUAAAAUUCUCUGAAAUGGAAAUAUACACAGGCAGUGAAAAAGAACUGCUCAGGCUUUGUCUAGUCAAGUUGGAAAGUUAUGUUUAUCAUCCAUGCCAAGGAUUGCUUAACAUGAUGGAAAGCAAUGCAAAGCAAGUGGAGGCUCCAUGUCAAGCUUGUGGUAGAUUAAUCACUGCACGUGGCUGUGUAUCUGGGUUUCAUCAAAACAUGACAACAAUACAACCAUCUGUUUCACCUGUCACACUUAAUGAAGUUUAGUGAAUCAAACAAUUUAUCAAAACAUGAUGAUGAUGUUUACUGGAACACUUGGACGGUUUAUCAAUCAUACUCUUUAGCAGGGCUGGAAAAGCACCUGGGUGCAUGCAGUACAGCCAAAAAUUUUGUAUGAAAUAACUUGCACGAACUAUUUUGUAUGGCAGAAAAUUUUAAGUAUAUGAGUAGAUUUAGAAUAUAGGUUUAUUGAAACAAAAUACAGACUAUAUUAUAAUCUGUAUUUCAUGAAAAUACCAUUUAGGAACUCACAGGUACUGCUGACUGGGAUGUGUGAAGGCUUGUUUUCAAUAGUUAUUUAUCAAACAUUUCCAUAGGAACUAUUUACUUUUAAAAUUUGCUGUCAUGAAGUAAAUGACUCUAUCCAAAGCUUGCACUUUAGAGUAUGCAUUUGCUUUAAGUAUUGUGGCUAUACAAUAUAAAUUACACAUAAAAUCAGUCCAUGAUUUGGUCAGUAA